UACGAAGGGGGCUAGCGUUGUUCGGAAUCACUGGGCGUAAAGCGCACGUAGGCGGAUCUUUAAGUCAGGGGUGAAAUCCCGAGGCUCAACCUCGGAACUGCCUUUGAUACUGGGGAUCUCGAGUCCGGGAGAGGUGAGUGGAACUGCGAGUGUAGAGGUGAAAUUCGUAGAUAUUCGCAAGAACACCAGUGGCGAAGGCGGCUCACUGGCCCGGAACUGACGCUGAGGUACGAAAGCGUGGGGAGCAAACAGG
rnacentral:rRNA from 1 species